rnacentral:rRNA from 1 species
UACGGAGGGUGCUAGCGUUGUUCGGAAUUACUGGGCGUAAAGGGCGCGUAGGCGGCCGUUUGCGUCGGAUGUGAAAGCCCGGGGCUCAACCUCGGAACGGCAUUCGAUACGGGACGACUGGAGACCGGGAGAGGAGAGUGGAAUAGCCAGUGUAGAGGUGAAAUUCGUAGAUAUUGGCUGGAACACCGGUGGCGAAAGCGGCUCUCUGGCCCGGUUCUGACGCUGAGGCGCGAAAGCGUGGGGAGCAAACAGG